rnacentral:miRNA from 1 species
AGCCACUGUACACACUCCCGUA